GACGAACGCUGGCGGCGUGCUUAACACAUGCAAGUCGAACGGUGACGGAGAGCUUGCUCUCCUGAUCAGUGGCGAACGGGUGAGUAACACGUGGGCAACCUGCCCAGACUUCGGGAUAACGCUUCGAAAGAGGUGCUAAUACCGAAUACGAACGCCGUGGGCAUCCACGGUGUUGGAAAGUUUUUCGGUCUGGGAUGGGCCCGCGGCCUAUCAGCUUGUUGGUGAGGUAAUGGCUCACCAAGGCGACGACGGGUAGCCGGCCUGAGAGGGCGACCGGCCACACUGGGACUGAGACACGGCCCAGACUCCUACGGAGGCAGCAGUGGGGAAUAUUGCGCAAUGGGCGAAAGCCUGACGCAGCAACGCCGCGUGGGGGA
rnacentral:rRNA from 1 species